rnacentral:rRNA from 1 species
UCAGGAUGAACGCUGGCGGCGUGCUUAACACAUGCAAGUCGAACGAAGCAAUUGGAGUGCUUGCACUUUGAUUGACUGAGUGGCGGACGGGUGAGUAACGCGUGGGUAACCUGCCUCACACAGGGGGACAACAGUUGGAAACGACUGCUAAUACCGCAUAAGCGCACAGUAUCGCAUGAUACAGUGUGAAAAACUCCGGUGGUAUGAGAUGGACCCGCGUCUGAUUAGCUAGUUGGUGAGGUAACGGCCCACCAAGGCGACGAUCAGUAGCCGACCUGAGAGGGUGACCGGCCACAUUGGGACUGAGACACGGCCCAAACUCCUACGGGAGGCAGCAGUGGGGAAUAUUGCGGACAAUGGGCGAAAGCCUGAUGCAGCGACGCCGCGUGAGCGAAGAAGUAUUUCGGUAUGUAAAGCUCUAUCAGCAGGGAAGAUAAUGACGGUACCUGACUAAGAAGCCCCGGCUAACUACGUG